CCCUUAGAUGUUCGGGGCCGCACGCGCGCUACACUGAUGCAUUCAACGAGUCUAAAACCUGCUCUGAUAGGGGUGGGUAAUCUUUUGAAUGUGCAUCGUGAUUGGGAUAGAUGAUUGCAAUUUUUCAUCUUCAACGAGGAAUGCCUAGUAAACGCAAGUCAUCAGCUUGCAUUGAUUACGUCCCUGCCCUUUGUACACACCGCCCGUCGCUCCUACCGAUUGAAUGGUCCGGUGAAAUCUUCGGAUUGAGACUUUGAUUUCUUCACGGAAAACGCUGUUUUAAGAAGUUGAUUAAACCUUACCAUUUAGAGGAAGGUGAAGUCGUAACA
rnacentral:rRNA from 1 species